rnacentral:lncRNA from 1 species
AGGACCAGCACCGGUACCCCCCCCCCCUCGCGGAUCCAACAGCAGCGGCUAGGUCAGGGUCGGAGAUGGCGCAUCGGCCAUCCGAUUCCGCCGGUCGUAGAUCAAACAGAGGGCGUGAUAAAGUCCAGCAGAAGUGGUGGCCGGGACUUUUACUGUUAAUUCGAUCUGCAAAACAGUGAUCAAUAUAGUAUAUGUGCAGUAAAAUAGACAUGUUGCUGAUAGUGUUGUAGUAGUGUGUGAUUUGGUUGCAUAGUUUUCUAAUGGAAACAAGUGAAAAACUCUUUGAUUUUCUGAUUUCUUUAUGCUUGCAGAGAGGUUCCACGACUUCAGUUUGGCUAUCAUCAAAAUUGGAGGAGAGCCCGAUGCAUUGGAGAGCAUCAUCCGCGAGUUCCACAGGAUCGAAUUGAGGAGGCAUUAUAACCUGGCAUCAUUUGGAUGACUUUGUCAGUAGGUAGAAAUUAGAAUUUGAGCAAUCUGAGACCCUGAGUUCUGCAUAAAGAAUUCCGAAAGUGAAACACCUUGUUUGUCCUGCAGGAAGAAUGGCUAACAUGCCUGUUAAAGCUAGAUAAACGCGUAUUGAAGGAACUGGGGUAUGUCCGCCAUGUUGAACACCCUCACAAUGACGGGUAAUUUCUUGUUACAUUCACCAUGGAAUGGUUUUGUGAUUCUGUUCCUUGUACAUAAUUCAGUUAAAUUCUAUCAAGUAUCCAGUUACUUGCCAUUCUUUGGUGAGAUUUGUUGAUGAUUUUUCUGAAGUAUUUUUGUGCUAUUCUCAUGUUUGUCAAACAUCAAUUUAGACAUCUUGACAAUACUUCCAACACUUUUUUAGCAAUUGAUACUGCCCACACUUUUCCUGGUCUUUUCGUCCCACAGUAGAAUAAUCCUAUGUUGCCAUGAAAAACAAUUUCAUGUGCUGAAGGCAGCGGAUCAAAUCAGCACUACUCCAUACUGCAUUGUUCUUGUCCCAUUUCGAGUAUCUUCGUUAAAUCAUUUUCAUCGGUACUAAGUAGCACUGACCUUUAUGUGUUAAUUUUUUUUACCAACUUGCAAAGAAUGCAUUUUUUUCCUUUUCUUUAUGUACACAAAUGAGGCAAUGCAGUUGGCAUCGACAUCUGCUACUCGCCGGCCUCUCUUGGAGCGCAGGUCGCCAUCGCCGUCCGCCGCUUCGGCGCUCGGCUCCUGCCCCAUGGACGCAUUCGCCACACCACUACUAGGGAAAAGCCUAACAGUAACGCGGGUAAUAGGGCUAUCAGUACAGCUAACGUGUACCAGUAGCGUGUACCCACAAGCGCUACUGGCAUACAUACUUAGCAGUAGCGCUGGUUGGGGAAGGUGCUACUGGUGGGACUAAUGGUAUGGUGCUAGCUUUAUGAAAUAAACGCUCAGCGUUCGCAAUUCUUCAUACUUAACUUGUUCAUUGCAUUUCAAACUUCUAGAUUAGAUGCCUGAUAUUUUUUUCUUAAAGAAUGUAAAAUGGGAGUGCGUGUAAAAGGACUUCCCAUUUUAUUGCAUUCAAGAAAUGACCAAGUUACUGAAUUUGAUUUGUAGGUACCAUACAAUGUUAGCGAGGACAGUGAUUGGGGGAUUGAUAUUUUCGAAGUAAAGAGGUGCUUGGAGGAGGCACGCGUCGCAGGUUUGACUGUUUGGGCUAUGGUGAUCAUAAACCCCGGAUAACCGACGGAACAGGUAUGCAAACAGAUAUUUGCAAUAACAUCAAAAAAUCUAAAAGGUUCGCUAAAAUUGUGUUGAAACUCAAAAUCCGCAAGCUUUGCUGUAGGUACUUUCUGUGACCAACCAGGAGGAGAUAGUAGAAUUUUGUCGAAAAGAAGGUUUGGUUAUGCUUGCCGAUGAAGUUUGCACUUGGUGAACUGCGGUAGUUUUGUGACGCGGACGCGUGUGUAGACAUCCUACAUUUGUAUAAAUGCGUUUACAAGUAUACCAAGACAAGCUCUAUAUGGAGGACAUGAAGUUCAAUUCUUUCAGGAAAGUUGCCAGAUCACUUGGGUAUGACGAGAAUGGUAUAUCCAUAGUGUCAUUUCAUUGGGGGGUAAAUCUUUGUUCAUUAGAAACACAGUUCAUAGCCUCUGGAAAAUAAGCCUUAGAUUAGAGAUCCAUGGUAAUUUUUUCAUCAUCUGAACUUGGCAGGGUACUCUGGAGUAUGUGGCAGAAGGGGAAGCUACAUGUUGAUAUGUAAAAUUCCCUUCACGACUCGUUUAGGAAUAACAGAGUUUUGGAGAUGAUGUGAUGGGUGAGAUUCGCAAGGUGGCUUCUAUGACUCUUUGCCCCAACAUAAAUGGUGACUUGCGAUGGAUCCACCGAAGGUUCGUUCAUCAUGCCUUUCUUGUGUCUACUAAUAUAAUUUAUUGUAAUUAGUACAUAUUAUCCUGAUAAUCAUUGUGCAAGAAAACUGAGAGCUCAGUUUACAACACUGAUGGAGUCAGUCCAUUGAAUAUUUGAGGAUUCAAAUUCAGAGAGAAUAUUCCAUCGAAUGUUCAAAGAAUUCAGAAAGUAGAGUAAGCAGAGCUCAGAUAGUAGUGAUACAGAUUAACUUAUAUCAACGGGUGCUUACACUAAAUCUGGCCAAAUACUGUAGUAAGUAGCCUCCUUGUGUUGUCGGUUAUUACAUGCUAUAAAAGACUUCAGCUCCUGCACUGAACCAAAUUAAUGGGGUGAUAAUACAGAUUAACACUACAAAAGCCUCCCCCCCCUCUCAGUCAGGCCUCUAUACCCUACCACCUACUCAUCUCCCUGAAACCUCUUGGGGUAGAGAGGCAAAAAAAGAAAAAACAAGAAAAGAAGACAAUUAAACAUUCCUGGAUACAGGCAACACUGUAUUCGCAAGCCCGUUGGCUACUUUCUGGGGUCGUGGAGGCUUCUUGUAAUUUGCUAUACUAAAAUGGGGGCAAAUAUACUCCAACCCAUGUGUAUUCGCGUAAUCCUGCAAUGAAAAGACCGAUCGGUAGAUUUGUUAUCAUGGAGAGGGGGUUAGGGUCGUAGAAUACAAGACUUUGGUGGUUACUGACAGUUCUAACAUGAAUUUGAUUGACCUGGGAGUUGUGACAUGCAAAUGUUUUAUGGUUGAUGGUUCUGUACCAUCAGUAAUAUUAUAUAAACAUAGUCUCUGCUUUCAUCUUCUUUGAUGAUAUAUUUUCUGGUCAAAAUUUAAAUGCAUUAUGCACCUGUUCUUUUUAUUGUAGUUCCAUUUUUUGUCAAAUUUAUAAAUUCUCUAUGAAUAGGAAUAUAGAGGCAUGUUCUUAAUCUAUUUUGGUUUUUUUGUUCACCCCGAAAUGCAGUAUAGAUCUGCGAUUGACAUUUUUAUUGGACCACUGGGUGAGCAUUUGCAACAAAGAGCCAGGGAGUAAGCUGGGAGCGGACAAACAUAAUGCCCUGAACAUGAGUUUGUCCUUGCAUAAUUAUCCAUGUCUGAUGGUACUACACCGCUUUAGUUUGUCCUUGUAUUAUCUCUUAUUGAUAAAAAAAUGUCCAGAACAAAGAAAUGAUGAAUUGUAGUAUAGCCAUUUUUGUAGUUGAAAAUUAUGUCUAAAAUUGAUCAUCACAUAGUAUGCUGGCAACUUGCAGGGUCGAUGAGACAUUGAUUGCCAUAUUGCUUUUCCAUCUUAUUCACAUCUUAUGAAUAUAUCUUUAAUAAUAUAAUUUAAUAUUUGUGUUUUCACAGGUAGGAAGAGACAGGAUCAGAUCGCUCACCAGUGAUGAAGACGUGGUAGUACCGUAGUAGGGUGUGGUAGAUGAACAUGUCUUUAUUUUCUGAAUCGCUUAAUAUUAUAUGAUAUUGUACUGAUAAGUAGGAGGUGAUUGCUGAUGGGUGAUUCUAGAUUCUUGAGUGAAUACUAGCUACCAUGUUAUCCUAAGUGCUGUCAACUAUUCAAUUACAAAUAAAAACUCAAGAACGUACUUAGUCUACCACAAAUUGGGAUUUUUUUUGCCUCAAAUUUAGUCUGAUACAUUUUCCUUAACGUGACACUCUUUUUAGAGUUAACCCAACAUUUUUCUGUUCCAUCGUAAUCAACUAACUUUGAUAUGCAUGGGUUCAAUGCUAAACAAAGGAGGCACACUUCUCUAGCCUCGAGGUGGUAUCACUAAUAUGUGCCAUGAACUAUACGCAAUUCAGGUUAUGUGACCAGACACUAUAUUUUAUCCCCAUCAUUAUCAGUAAGCAAUGCAUAAUUUUUCUUUGCUCAUCGUCCUACUAACAAUAACUUGUUCUGCCUAAGUGGUUAUCCCUUAUAGCAUCACCUGCACCUACCAGCCUGAAUGAACUUUGGCGACAAUGCAAACAUGCUGUUAUUGCAGAUGAAAAAAUAUUGUAAUGUAUGCAAAUGCAAGUGUGAUUUUUCCUUUUAGAAACCCUUUUUCUGUUUUCAUUUUAUUCCUGUCUGAAAUAUAAUAUAUAAAUAAAGAGGUUUAUUAUUCUUCCGUUAUCUUCAGCUCAUGUAUAUUUUAUGUGUUUCUUACUUUCUUUUAACAUUUCUCAAUAUAGUUCUUCUCAACAAAUUUUCAUAUCGCAGAGCUUGGUCCAGCACUCGGACUCUCGGACUCACUGGAUGCAAAUGGAGUGGAGCCUCCUCUGCCAUCUCAACAUCAGCCGCAGGACGGCACUACAACCAACUAGCACCAUGGAUGGGUCAAGGUUGCUUGUGAUGAGAUCAUCAAUCUCGAAGGAGGACAGGUUGAUGAUAUGGACCUCUUGGACGACUAUGUCGUUGUUGUUGUAAAACAUGGUGAUGGUGUUUCAGUUGAAAUAGGCAAGGGCAGUCAGCCCGAGGCGGCCCUUAUUCAGGCUUCAAGAUCGAGCUGCACCUUUAUCGAUGGAAGUCAUAUCCAUUAUUCCUCCUUAUUCUAUCUUAUAUAUUUAACUGUAUUGACAUAAAAACAGUGUCAGGAUUAUAGACAUGUAUCGUUGUUAUUACCAAUCAGAUCAGUGGUACAAGUCUUUUUUCCUUGAUCUCUGAGUGUUUAGCCACAAGAGGCGUUAGAAGAGCCCGAACAGAACCUACCGAGCCUGGUCGUGGUUAAUGAGGUUUUGCCGGAUAAAUAGCCUGUUCGUGGGAGGCGAAGGGGCACUUCUCGGUCAGAUCUGCAUACGCGGCUGGCUUUUGCGGAAGGGAGGUCAUACCUACGGCGGAUCUAACAUGGAAGUCGCGUGCCCCUUUGCAGUGCAAAUUCUUUACAUGGCUGGCAAUGAAGGAGCGAUGCUGGACUUCGGAUUGCCUUGCGCAAAGGGGUCUACCUCAUCAGGAUGCAUGCCAUUCUGUGAUCAAGAGGACGAAACGAUCAAUCAUAUACUGCUAUCGUGUGUCUUUGCUCGGACUGCUUGGGCGGCCAUCUAUGGCUUGCUGGAUAAACCAGAAUGGACCCCCUCCCCUCAUGAUGUGCUGGUCGAGUGGGCCAUUGACAAGAAGGGAGUGAACAACUUGAGCAUGAAGGAUCUACGCACCAUAUUCGCGCUUGUUUGGUGAGAGUUGUGGAAGCCCAGGAAUGCUAUUGUAUUUGAUGGAGCACGGCCGUCUAUAGAUCAGCUGUUACAAAGAGUGAGAGAUGAGGGUGUGGUCUGGUCCUCUGCGGGACUUCUAAAAAGGAAUGUAACUUCCUUCUUUACUAGGGUAGAGAGGUGGGUGAGUGGUGAGGAUUAGCAUGUAAUAUAAACCCUGUAACCAAUGGUGGAGGCACUCUUUGCCUUUCUUCUUUAAUAUAUGAUAUGCACACUCGUGCAUAUUCGAGAAAAAAAAGAACCUACCGAGCCUUCUGUCUGUGUAGUCUGCGACUUGACAAGGUUAAACAUGAGAUUCUUUUUAUACUGAAUAAUAUCUAUGCCAACAUCUUACAUUUAAUCCAAUUAGCCUUACCUUUUAAUUUCCAAUAUUCUAGGGAAAGCAAACGGAAGCUCAUGGAACUGACGCAACCAUGAUCACACGCUUCGACGGUACUGUUCCUUAUAAGCAUGCCUUUUGCUGAUAUGAUAGUUUUGCGUUGACUUCGUAAACUUUUAUUGUAUGCCAGCAGUUCUCUGACUAUGCUUUAAAUGAGAGUAGUUUACAUCGCUAGAAUAUGGGCAUCAGAGAUAAGAAGAAAAUGGGCAUGAAAGAAUUUUUUAUAGUUGGUUCAUUUGUUAUAUACAUCUUUCAUGUUCACUCUGUAGAGCUCCCUUGGGUAGUUACUUCAUUUGUGCUGCACAAAAUACACGCUCUCCAUCCGUCAAGGAAGCAGGUCGUAAAUCAGCAUGGUCAAGUUGUAGUGACAUGAUAAAGGCAAUAAACUUUCACACAUUUUCUGUUCCAUUCACAAUUAUUUGAAGGGGCUGCUUAUCAGUUUUUAAUCUUGAAGCUUGCACAGUCACUAAUAUGACCAUGCUAUUUUAGAGUGAUAACCUUGCUUCCGAAGAAACUUCAAGGUUGCAAGAUAGUGAAAGCUUUUUUUUUGUGCAGUGGCAAGGUGAAAUUUUAUGGAAGAGACCAAGAGGAGUUGCUUCACGUGCUUAAUCACCGAUGUGUACAAAUGCAUAAACAGUGAUGAAUACUUUCUCAUGAAUUUUAAUUUUCCCCUCCAGUCACAACAUCAUUGAUUCCUUGUAUUAAUAUACACCUAAACUGAUGGUUUUAUCUAAUUCUAAGAAAGGUACAUUGCAAGGUAUAUUUAGACAUUAGAAUAUAUAUGUAUGCCCUUGUUGCAAUGCAUGGACAAUGUAAUAAUCUUUAUUCCUUUGCAUUGUUUGUCUGGUUUGUAUUCGUGUUCCGAUCACGAUCCAUUGAUUACACGUUUUAUGUUUUUAUUUGUAGUAUUGCCAUAAGAUAAACAUAAUGCUUUGCUAGAUGUCUUAUGCGGGCUAGAGAGAUUCAAUUAACACGGAGAAAUUCAAAGUGUGGUUCGGGAGGGGAUGGAAUGAGAUUGUGAUCCAGAUGCACCUGUGGUACAUGUGGUGAGCUUCAAUUUGUACUAGAGUUAGUUUCAAGUUUUAUCCUUGUUGCAGUAAAAAAUUAAGGCUGGAUUAACCACCAUGUACAUCUUUAAUUACUUUUAAAUAAGAAAUAUAAUCAAAAUAUUCUUUUGAAUUGAUAAAAUUUAUAUAAUUUAUAGAAGUACAUGAAGGUGGAACAGGAGGAAGGUGGGAGAAGAUUAGAUAUCGUUUCAUUUUCUUGCAAGGAGAGGAUGGUUACGAAGAAAUGACAAGAAAUGGAGAGAGAAUCAGUUUUAUUACUGUAUGGAUGGAAACCACAUGCCAGCUUGUCCAACAUAUUUCUACGUUGAGUCAAUUAUUCGAUCGCUAUGUUUUUUUAUUCCAUGGCAAUGCAUGGUCAUUCAACUAUUCAAAUUUACAGGUUGUUCAUCCACUUUUUUCAAGCUAUUUACAUAUUUGUCACUUGUCAGCAAGUUUGCAUAUGAUGCUAGGAAGUGAACAUAAGGACACAUAAACGUUGCAUUUUGAAUAUGAAAUAAACUCAACAUCCAAAUAACAAAUUCGUUGCUGUGUCCAUCAGUGAGCAGGAAAUGUAAGCAUCCUUCUAAAUAAGAUAUUACCUAUCUUGAAGCUGGAAAUGCAAGAAUUCUUCUAAAUAAGAUAUUAGUUAUCUUCAUGAUGGAAAUGCAAGCAUCCAAAAUUUACAACAAUAUUUCUAAAAACUGGAAACAAGCUUGCAAUCUUGAUAUAAGAAUGAAACAUAAGCAACAUCACAGAGUUUGCUAUUUCUUUUGAAACAUAAUUACCAACAAGUGAUAUACAGGUGAACUUACAGUUUAUUCAAAUUGGAAUGCGGCUCACUCUACUAAAAAGGACGAUGUCACUCACUCCGACUAAAAACGAUCUUCUACUUGCAUUUAGCAUCUGGCCAAUGAAUAUAUAUUGUAUAUGAGUUUUCUAUUUUUUAUUUUAAUAUUAUUUAUAUGUCUACUUUUGUAGAUCAAAGAUCAAAACUGAUGGCUUUUUAUUGACAAAGCUUUAUGGUGAACCAGACUGAAAAAUCAUCGGGUUUUAAACAAUCAGAAGAGAUGCAUACAAAUAAUUGUUCUUUAUAUAUUUGUUGUGCAUGAUAAUACAAAAGGUAUGUUUCUAUACAUAUUUAUUUUUACAGAGUAUGAAAGAGAUGGAGAUGGAUUAUGUCAACGUUCAAAAAGAAUCCAUCGACAAGGGUGUUGAGGCGAUGUCAUUGGAAGGGCCCAAAAAAUUCAUUAAGAUUUAUACAACAAAAGGCCCGUGGCAACGCACGGGCAUUGUACUAGU